rnacentral:rRNA from 1 species
UACGUAGGGGGCAAGCGUUGUCCGGAUUUAUUGGGCGUAAAGAGCGUGUAGGCGGCCAUGUAGGUCCGUUGUGAAAACUCGAGGCUCAACCUCGAGACGCCGAUGGAAACCAUGUGGCUAGAGUCCGGAAGAGGAGAGUGGAAUUCCUGGUGUAGCGGUGAAAUGCGCAGAUAUCAGGAAGAACACCCGUGGCUAAGGCGGCUCUCUAGUACGGUACUGACGCUGAGACGCGAAAGCGUGGGGAGCGAACGGG